GUAUCAAACCCGGGCUGACGCGGUGGAAAGCCAGCGACUAACCGCUAGACCUAUGGCGCGGCCUUAACCACAAGUAACUAACACAAGUGCUAAUUCACACACACACUACAAUUCACUGCAGCACACACUAAAUUUUCUCAGUCUGCUGUCUUCAUCAUUAGUUGUGUGGUAACAGUUUCUGAUGGCAGAUGUUUCCCUUACCCUGGGUUCCCGAACUAUCCCCGUGCCUCAGCAACAGCUCACAAUGACUGAAUUGCAGCAGUCCUCUAACUGACUGUUCACCAAUCAGCUGUUUACUUCCCUGCACUGCACUGCAUUAACUCCAGCUGUGUCUUGCACCUCUUACAACAUCUUGGCACAGACCGCACAGAAAACACCAUUCCUCAUGGUUGUAGUCCAGUUGUUGCCAUGGGAACGUUUGUUUGCAAAGCCGUUGUUUAGCAACGGGUCUACAUGCUACAGUAUUUUACUUGUUAUCAUGGCACUAUACUGUACUAUAAUCGGAAACCCUCAUAAUGGAAAUCUGGCUAUUGUUCACUUAAAUAAUAGUCUGGCGGAACAAUGAAUUUACUACCCUGUGUAACUGGGCAGGCAUACUUAUCUUCUCUGAGUGGGGUGGCUAAUUUUGGUUCCCCCAUACACCUCUCUUUUUCUUGGGCAGUAUUGUGUGUCCAUCCACUUAAAACUGAAACUCUUGUCUUGGGCAAACAUCUAAAUAUUUGCACAGUCCAUCACGUGCUGCUUGCAUUGUUAUGGGAUUCUCUUCCUUAACCAGAGAGGGUGGGGAAUUUUGGAUAGUUACACACAGCAUAUCCAUUUCUGUCUGCUCUAGGUCGUUGCAGAAUUUUUACAUUCUGUGUCAUAUCCAAGAAUCAUGCUGUACCCGACAUAGAGUACCCUCUGCUUGCUUACACUUUGCCUAAUUUGUUACAGCAUCCUACUUCUUUAUUCAUCCACUCCUUAACCACAUGGACAUUCCUUAUUGGUUUGCUAGUAGCUUCUCUGCUUCAUUCAGUCAUCACUCAUUGAUCACAUGGACAUUCCCUGUUGGGUAGGUACUCGCUUCUCUGCUCAUCCAGUUGUGCCACAUGGACAUUCCUUAUUGGUUAGCAUCCUGCUGUCUUCAUCCGUUCACGGUUCAUGAACCCCAAAGAUGGUCCCUAUUGCCUAGCAUCUCGCUUCUUUGUUCACUCAGUCACGGCUCAUAUACCACAUGGAUGUUCCCUAUCAAACAGCGUCCCACUACCUUUAGCCAGUCACGGCUCACUAAACACGUGGACACCCUAUUAGGCAGGAUGCGGCUCUUUGUUCACAGAAUCACCACUCAUGAACCAUGUGGAUGUUCCCUAUUGGUUAGCAUCCCACUGACUUUAUCCAAUCACGGCCCUCAAACCACAUGGAUACCCCUACUGGUUAUCAUGUCACUUCUCUGAUUAUCUGAACACAUCUCAUUAACCGUUUGGAUGUUCCCCCUUGUUCAGCAUUAUUACAAAGUUCCUGUAGACCUCAGGUAAGGGGAUGGCAUUAAUAUUUCUUUGAUAGUGCGUUAAAUACAGUGACGUUCCCUAUUGAUUUGCCUCCCUCUGCCUUCAGCCAGUCACAGUUUACUAAUCACUUGGAUGCUCCAUAUUGGCCAGCAUUUCACUCCUUUAUUCACCCAAUCAUGACUCAUGAACCACAUGGACCUUCCCUAUUGGCUACCAUCCCGCUUGUCUGAUCAUCCAGUCACAGCUCAUUAACCAUACUGAUGUUCCACAUUGGUUAGUGUUUUUAUGAAGUUUCAUUUCACCUUAAUCUAGUUUUGCAAAGGUUACUAAGCCAAAGUCACACAAAAUUAUAAAAAUGUGAAUAUUACCGCAACAUUGGACAAUGUGAUGCCCAACACAGGAAAUAUAAGAGGCUUAAACUUGGUGUUGGUCAAGCAUGUGACUGUUCAAAUGACUAUACUGCUGUUUUAGUAGGAGCUACUAAAGAUAGAGCAUGAUCUUCUGUACUGAGCCUGGACUGAUAGAGGUCUUGUAUAUAUUGUAUAUAUAUACAUUUAAUAACAUGUAAUCCAAUAAUCCAAUGGGUACCAGGAGUGCUUUACCUGGGGUGUAAAACAGUAGUGGUGUGAAGCUGACCACUCACAUCCAUCUAGUGUAGGGGUUAGGAUGGCAAAACCAUACUUUCACUCCCUCAUAUGUCUUCACGGCCAGGGCCAACUUGACCUUUUCACAAUUGGAAACAGGGAAGGAUAGAUUGUUUGUUUAACAGUUUUAUUCACUGUUAAAGUUACAUAA